UGAACACCAAACGCCCUCAACUAAGCUGAACCUGACACUGACGCAACUGCCUACUUCCAAUUUCUCCCUCCAAAUUCAACCCCAAUUCCAAACCUCCAAUUCGCCGCCGAUCGUCGCCGGAAACUCUCAGUCUCCCCGCCGCCGCAUGCCGCUUCACUCACAGCGCCGGAAAUGGUUUUCUCCAUGUGCAACCGCAGUAAGAAAUCGACUCAAAACGUUAUCGAACCAACCAAACAGCAAUCUGCGUCGCCCGCUCCUCGAUCAUCUUCUCCGAUGAGGAAAUCGAAGAAAUCGCGGCGGAGUUCCUCGUCGAAUCCGUCGUUUUCCACCGGAGGAUCCGACAACUUCGCCACCGCGAGCUUGCCUUCCACCGCGAGCUUCUACAUAGAUUCCUCGCGGUCGACCUCCAUUUCCGGCGCCGCAUCUCUCCACAGCCUCCGCGAUUCCGUCCUCCCCGAGCAGGCAUACGUUUACAGCUUUCAAGAAAUCUCCGCCGCCACGCGCGGCUUUCUCUUGCAGCCGCACUUCUCCUCCUCCUCCUCAACCGCCUGGCGGUGCAGAGUACGCGAUCAAACCGGAAUAAUCUUCCAGCGGAAAUUCCGGCGUGAAAUAGACACCGAGCACCUCGUGGAUCGUCUCGCCCUAAUCUGCCGGAGCCACCAUUCCAGCUUGGUAAAAUUGAAAGGAGCUUCAAUUUCCGGUAGUUAUAUUUAUUUAGUUUACGAGUAUAUCACCGGCGCUAAUCUUUCUCACUGUCUUCGAAAUUCUAAGAACCCUAAUUUCACGAUUCUGUCUAAUUGGAUGUCACGGAUACGAAUUGCAUCCGAUAUUGCUCACGGAUUGGAUUACGUUCACAAUUCAACAGGAUUAGGGUUUGAAUUUGUGCACAAUCAUAUAAAGAGCAGUAGCAUUAUAAUUGAGGAGCCAUUGUUGAAUGCUAAGCUCUGCCAUUUUGGUACUUCUGAGCUUUGUGGAGAGAUAACAAAGCACACCCCUGUUUCUAAAGAGGCCAAGAGAUUGCACAGCAAGAUGAACAAAUUCGAGGGCACAAGAGGAUACAUGGCCCCUGAAUUUCAACAAUCCGGCACUGCAACGCAGAAGGGCGAUGUCUACGCAUUCGGGGUUGUCAUUCUCGAGUUGUUAUCAGGAAUGGAAGCAUUGGAAUACAGAAUGAAUUCAGAUAAGGGGACUUUUGUGAGGAUAUCAGUUGUGGACACUGCCCGGCAGGCGGUGGAGGUUGAGGGAGGGGUUAGAAAAUGGGUAGAUAAGAGGCUGAAGGAUUCUUAUCCGGAGGAGGUUGUCGGAAGAUUGGCGCGCUUGGCAUUGGAUUGUGUAGCAGAUGAUCCAGAGAGACGGCCGGAUAUGAACAAAGUUGUGGGUAAGAUUUCACAGAUGUUCUUGGAAUCACAGAAAUGGUCAGAGACAAUGGUGGGGGGGACAACAGACUUCACAAACUCUCUGGUACCACGAUGAUCAAAGCUUCCUAACUUGAGAAUUUUGGUUUGAUACACAUAUACAACAGAAACUGAUUUUCUUGAGGUAUUAAAGUUGUGGCGAGAUGGUAUUUGGAUGUGAUACUUUUGAAUAUCCGGUGAUCGGAAAAGGUAGACAGAAAAGACUUAGUGUAGAAGAUUCGGAUACAAGACAAGAUGGCAUACCAAGAAUUCAGGUAUGUUAUGAUGUCAAUUUUAUAUUUCAACUCUUGUUUUGUAUACAUAUUUGAAGCCCACCAGAUUCAGGUACCAAUAAAUAAUAGUAAUAAUGAUAUUAUUAUUAUAAUAUAA